rnacentral:rRNA from 1 species
AUGUGGUAUGCCCGCCCAACCUUUGUUGUGAGGUCUAGCAUUUGUUUGUGGUUCGUAUUUGAUCUAGGGUUUACUCAAGAUCGUGUCUGUGCACUAGGAAAGGCUAGUUUUGGGGGAUCAAGUUCAAGGCAGGGUAAAGAGAAGAUCGAUGACCUCCUUAGUAGGCUUACGCUCCAUGAGGAAGAAGAGGGUGAAUUCAUAUGGGAAGAAGAGAUCAAGGAGCCAUCAGCGGUGGCGAAGUUGGUAGCCAUCACACGGGUUCACACCACCAAAGGUUUCAGUCCUACGGUGUUGUACGCGGAUAUGCGCUAGUCAUGGAACCCUGUGAAGGAAGUUGUCUGGAGGAGACUCGAUGACAACCUCUUUAUGGUACAGUUCGAUUUCCUCGGAGAUUGGAACAAGGCCGUGACAUGGGCCCCUGGUUAUUAA